CAAGGGAUUCUAACCUGUCAAGGGCGGCUUGAAAUUGUAUAAAAGAUGUUUGUGUCCCACUCCUUUUUAUCUCAAAUCUGUUUGAGGUUUCAUGCAGGGGAAGCCUAAGCCAUCAUGACUGAGAUCCCAGUUCUGACUGGAUCGCCCUGAAGAUAAACAUUGGACUAUAACCUAUGGACUAAAUUCUAAAAGAACUCUGCAACUACAAAGCUUACCGUCUCUGCUACGAAUCUGAAUCUCAAGAUUGACUCAUGUCUGAAAAAUCCACUGGAGGAUUGAGGCCUCAGGAGACAAAUUCUAGGACCAUGUGAUGACCUCACAUCAGGGCACUAUAUAGCAUGUUAACAGACCAUCAUCCUCAGGGAGCUGCUCAUUGGUCCAGUUUCCCUCAGAAGGUUGAGCCAGAACAGACAUUCCCUUGUGCACUCAGAGGACUCUCAGGACCGAAGAAAGAGUUCCACUGCUCCCUGGAAGACCUUUCCCAAGCAUUUAUGGAAAUGGGAGAGCCAGCCCCUGUUAAUUUGCCCUGGAUGGAGAAAGCAUACAAGCUUGCCGCCUUUUAAAGAUGGUGGGAAGGCAGAAUACUAUAAUCUCCCUGAAAGACAUCAAAGGAGACACAGAAGAUACCCCUCAUGAAGGAAGUAAAUGGACAGUGAGUUUUCCCUCACAAAAAAGGGUUAUCAACCAGGCUUGGCUGAAAAAUGCUAGCGAGAACUUUGGGUGAGAUAAGCUUUCCCAGACAGAAGGGUAAUGUGAGCUAAGUUUAGUCUCUAAAAAGCAUGUUUUGUUUUGGUUUCUAUAUGUAAGCAUUUAUUUCCAAUAUUCUUACUCAUUAUCACUUUAAUCUCUAUUCUUUGAUAAUAAACUUAUUCUUGUUUUCACUAUAAA